rnacentral:rRNA from 1 species
UAGGGAAUCUUCGGCAAUGGACGAAAGUCUGACCGAGCAACGCCGCGUGAGUGAAGAAGGUUUUCGGAUCGUAAAACUCUGUUGUUAGAGAAGAACAAGGACGUUAGUAACUGAACGUCCCCUGACGGUAUCUAACCAGAAAGCCACGGCUAACUACGUGCCAGCAGCCGCGGUAAUACGUAGGUGGCAAGCGUUGUCCGGAUUUAUUGGGCGUAAAGCGAGCGCAGGCGGUUUCUUAAGUCUGAUGUGAAAGCCCCCGGCUCAACCGGGGAGGGUCAUUGGUAACUGGGAUACUUGAGUGCAGAAUAGGAGAGUGGAAUUCCAUGUGUAGCGGUGAAAUGCGUAGAUAUAUGGAGGAACACCAGUGGCGAAGGCGGCUCUCUGGUCUGUAACUGACGCUGAGGCUCGAAAGCGUGGGGAGCAAACAGG